GAUGAACGCUGGCGGCGUGCCUAAUACAUGCAAGUCGAGCGAACGGACGAGAAGCUUGCUUCUCUGAUGUUAGCGGCGGACGGGUGAGUAACACGUGGAUAACCUACCUAUAAGACUGGGAUAACUUCGGGACACCGGCGCUAAUCCCGGAUAAUAUUUUGAACCGCAUGGUUCAAUAGUGAAAGACGGUCUUGCUGUCACUUAUCGCUGGAUCCGCGCUGCAUUAGCUAGUUGGUAAGGUAACGGCUUACCAAGGCAACGAGGCAUAGCCGACGUGAGAGGGUGAUCGGCGACACGGGAACGUAGACACGGUCCAGACUCCUACGGGAGGCAGCAGUAGGGAAUCGUCCGCAAUAGGCGAAAGCCUGACGGAGCAACGCCGCGUGAGUGAUGAAGGUGUUCGGAUCGUAAAACUCGGUUAUUAGGGAAGAACAUAUGUGUAAGUAACUGUGCACAGCGUGACGGUACCUAAUCAGAAAGCCACGGCUAACUACGUG
rnacentral:rRNA from 1 species